AAUCUCUGAUGAGAAAACUGCAACAAUAUGAUGGAUAAACUCCAUGAUUCGUUGUAUUUAAGUCUCUGAUGAUU